AUGGAGCCCAGCUCCAGCAAUAACCACUGGCUGGGAUGAGGGAUCCAGAGACAGCACAGGGGAGGGAGAGGGUCUGCAAGGUGCAGUCCUGGGCCCAGCUCCUGUGCCUGCACCUGGGACAGGACACCUGGCGACAAGGAAAAUCAGUCGCUGUCAGUCACCUGUGGCCACACCCAUCCCCACAGCCCCGUGUGUGACACCUGCGACCCUCACUUUGGGGAGGUGUCGCCAAGCAGAGGAGAAGAGCCCACAGCCCUGCCUUCCCCAGGGACCUCAGCCCUGUCUGCGGAGGGAGCUGUGAGCUCUCGCAACCCAGGGGUGGACUUGACCCUCGAGCUUGAAGAGGAUUUUUCAUAUUGGAAGCCUUGUCCUUAGAAGUGGGGAGAGACUGAAGAACUCCUUUUCUGUUAUUUCUUAUUAUUGCUAACCAACAUAUAAUCGUUCUCCCCACUUUCUAAGGACUCAGAUUGUUUUCUAUCCAUAAUGGCCCUUUUCUCCUUUCUUUUCAAUCAGUUUUUGCAGGGGUUAAGUGGAAGAAAUAGUCCUACUCUAUUUUCUGAUGUUUGAGAGCUGACACCUUAAAGGUCACUCCUCUCUUCUUCCUCUGCCCACUGCUGGGAAAUUUGGUAAGAAGCACAGCUUCUCCCUCCUUCGAUGCAGGUGGGAGAUCAAAACCACAUGAGCCGUGCCUGUGAGCACAACACUUAACCCUCCCACACCCAGGAACCACAUUAAAAACCCUAAUCCGUCUCCAUUGCUGGUGCUAUCAAAGCAUUUCUGAUGUUCUUGAGAGGUCUGCCCUGCUCUCAACAGACACCUCAAUAAUGGAGCGAUGGUGCCGGCCGAGCUGUGCCAGAGCAACCAAGGCAAAAGCGUCGUGCACAGAAUGACCGAGAACUUUGACCAGGUGCCGUGGACUCCGCAGAGGCAGUGACCCAGGACUGAGGUCCCCGAGCGUCCUUCUGAGUGUCGUGGCCCCGGUGCCCCUCUCACGGGAGUUGCUGUCAGGCUUGAUGGUUGAAGCAGCCAUGGUAUCGAGAUUUCACUGGUAGAAACUAUUGCUUUUCUUCCCUGGGAGAAGCAGGUCUCCUUCUACUUUGUUGGGGAGACUCCCUUUUUACUAAACAAAAAUGAUAAACUGUAACUACAUAUUAAGGAUUAGGUUAUAUACAUGUAAAGAAUAAUCAUAAAGAUCAAGAAACAGAACAUGAUGAGUGGACACCUAGGAGUGCCCUUCCCUCGUCACAGCCUCCUCCCCACCGUGAGGUAGCUGUUCUCCUGAUUUUGUGUCAGUGACUUGUCCUCAGAGUUUACGCCCAAGGACGCAUCUCUGCACAACGCAGCCCAGCUUUGCCUAGUUCCAAGUCGGAGCGUGCAUGGUUCAUUUCUGCAUCCGCUUGUGAUGGCCUUCAGGUUCUUUCAGGUUUGGCUCCUGUGGCUGCGGAGUCCAUGUCCGUGUGUUCUGAUGCAGGGCCGGUGGGUUUGUGUUCAGCUGGGAGGAGCCCUGCUGGUCUGUGCGCAUGGACUUCGCUCUCUGAGGCCCGAUUGUUUCAGAAGUGGUUGCAUCCCCCCGCUGAGGACCAGGCUUUCCAUUGCCCCACAGCCUGCUGAUAUUUGGUACUAGGUCUUUCACGUCUGCCAUUCUGGUAGGUGUACGCACAGUUCUUUUCUUAUGGUUUUAAUCCCUGGGUUAUUAGUGAAGUUGUGCAUCUUGUUGUAUUCAUGGACUAUUUCCUGUUGUUUUAAAAAAAGUUUUAAAAAUUGUGGUCAAAUACACAUAACAUAAAAUUUACUAUCUUAACCAUUUUUAAGUGCACAUUUCAGGGUCAUGAAGUAAUUCGCACUGUUGUGCAACCCUGACCGCCAACGUCCUCCAGAACUUUCUCAUCUUGCAAAAUGGAAACAGUCCCCAUUAAACACUCACGCCCCACUCUCCCUCCCUCAGCCCCUGGCACCCACCAUCCUGCUUUCUGUCUCUGUGGUUCCGACAGCUCUAGGGGCCUUGUGUGAGUAGAUCAAGCACUGUUUGUUUUCUUGUGCCUGGCUUACAUCACUGAGCGUAAUGCCCUCAAGGCUCAUCCCUGCUGAAGGCUGUGUCAGAAUUGCCUUCCUUUUUAGGCUGAAUAACAUUCCCUUUUAUGGAUGGACCGUGUUUUGCUUCUCCAUUCAUCCGUUAAUGGACACAUGUAAUAUCUACGUUCAUUUCUCAUGUCUUAUAAUAUUUGUGGAAUAAUGUCGGAAAGUCCUAUGAAUCAAAAGUCAUUUGCCAGUAACUUUUUUUUUUCCAUUAACUUUUUUCUUAAACUUUUAAUUGUGAAAAACAUCAAAGCUAAGAAAAAGGGAAAAUACAUGUCAGCUUCACUUGCGUUCAGGAAUUAAUGCUUUACGGAUUCACUUUAUUCCCUGUGUGUGUGCUACGUGUGUGCACUUGCCUCUUUGCGUACAUAUGCUGUGCCUGUGCAUAGGUAUCUGCUCUUGCACACGUUAGUGUGUGCAUGGGUACCUGCGUGCGUGUGUGCUCAUCUGCUAGUGUGUGACUAUAUUUGUGCUGUGCACGUGCGCAUGUUUGUGCGUGUGCUGUGCCUGCCUCUGCGCACACCUGUGUGUUUGCGGGAACCCCUUGCAAGUUGCUUGCAGACUGAAUUGUGCCCCAGAUAUGUCCGCACGCACCUGCUCUAACAAUCCUGCGUAGCCACGUAGAGUUCAGAGAUCUCAGGGAUUGAAAUGGAUGGAGCAGGGUGUCCUGACACAGGGUCUGUCUUCCAAUGACUGUCACUGUCUCAGUAACAUCCUUCACACCUUCUUUAAGCCCCAUUCAGGGUCCAGCUUAGGCCCCAAUUACAUUCAGUCACCUGCCCUGGGUCCCCUAUAAGCUACAAUGUCACAAUGGGAGACCCCGGCCAGGGCCUGGGGUGCCCCUCCUGUUGGCCUGGCCUCCAGGCCCUGCACGUGGCUCCUGUGUUCCCAUCUCUCAGCCAGGCCCCGACUUGGAUGGGGCCGCCACCUCUUUCCUCACAGGGUCCCAUCGCCCAGUCAAGGGGAUGCAUCCUCCCCAAACUCAGCAUCAGGAGUUGGGGUUGUGACCGCCCGCACUGGGUCUCCUUCAUGUGAGACCCUGUGCUUUUGAAAGAGCAGGCGCCCUGCCCUCGGGGGUGGGGGGCUGGGGGGUGGCAUGCGGUCCACGAUGGGCAGGCCGGUCCCCGGGUGGGGUGAGCCAGUGUGCAAGGAAUUCCGCGGUGGGUUCUCCUCUCCAACGGCUUCUGUGCCCCUACCUCUCCCCGUGCCUCCCCUCGAGGACAGCGCGGUGCCCGGGACGGGAGCCAUAAGCCACUGCCCCCUCUACACACACACACACACACACGCGCACACACACACACACGCGCGCACACACACACACACACACACACACACACGCACACGCUGCAGGGAGACAGGACCUGAGUGCAGGGCUCUCAGCGACCCUGAGCGCCCCGCCCGGAAUCGGCCAGCGGAAUGGACAGACAGGCUCUCCCGGCCCGCACCAUGCAGAACUGUCCUGCCUGGGCCUCCUGUGCGGCCGCCUCCUUCUGGAAGCCUGGGAGGCUGGAAUCAGGCCACUUCUUGUCUGGCCUGGCAGCAGACUGGGCUGCACUCUAAGAAGUUCUUGGAUCACACGUGGAUCCUGACCAUCAGGUGGCCAGAGACACUGGAGUAUGGAGAGCUGGGAAGAGAGCUGGCCUGGCCUCAGUACUGGGAAGCUCCGUGCCUGCAUCUGAAGGAGGUCCUAGGAACCCAGCUUGUUUCCACAUUAGGGGAGCCAACAGCAGAGCCAUGGUGUCCUGACCAAGGGGCGGUGUGACCCCCAGGUGCAGGGUCUGGGGAGGUGGAGUCACCUGCUUGUCACAUUCAUAUGAGGUCAUGCAUGUUUGAGUGGGUUGCUGCUCUGUGUUCUGAUUCUUACCAGUCGGAUAUAUUCUUUUCUGGUGACUAGAGUGUGCCCAGUCCAGUUCUUUGAGCUACGGAAAUGAUCAUACCUAAGUCUACCUGAGUUGCUGCAACUGGCCUUAUUUCAUUGAUUUCAUGGGCCCGCACAGAGUCCACCAGGCUGUGGAUGUGGUAGAAGGUACAGAGUUUCGGGGCCCGGUCCAGUCCAUGCAGGUGUCUGACCACCGAGCGGUCAGUGUGGAGUAUUCCCAGGGAGCCCUGGCCAUGCUCGCACCCUUCCGGAAAGGACACGUCAGCGUGGUACCUGCAAUGACCGGGAGGUCAGCCGGCAGCGGCCCCCACCCAACCUCACUGUUACCACAAGAAACAAGAGACAACUCCGUGAGGAAACACAGAACAUCACCAGCCUGAUUCUGUCCUGAGGAAGGUCAGCUGGCAUCUGGGAACUGGGUGCUAUAGUGGGUUGAAUGGGGGGGCCCCCAGAAGUUAUGUCCACAUCAUGCCCCCCAGAAUCUGAGAAUGGAACCUUAUUUGGAAGUAGGCUCUUUGCAGGUAUAAUUAGUUAUGGAUCUGGAGAUGAGGGUGGCCGUAAAUCAGUGACAGUGUCCUUCUAAGAGACAAGAGGAGAGACACAGACACAUAGGAGACAGCAUGUGAAGACGGAGGCAGAGACGGGAGGGAUGCAGCCACAAGCCCAGGGACGCCUGGAGCCCCCAGAAGCUGGAAGAGGCAGGCAGGACCCUCCCCUGGAGCCUCCGGAGGGAGCGCGGCCAUGGCACACCUUGACCUCAGACGUCUGGUCUCCAGGACUGAGAGAGGACAGGUUUCUGUUGCUCUGAGCCUCCGUUUGUGGUCGUUUGUCACAGCUGCCCCGGGAAGCUAAUGCAGCUGGUGAGCAGCCCCCUGCCCUGAUCUAAACCCUCCGGCCUCCCGUUAGGGGCAGCCCCCUGCGCCUGUGCUGUGUGCACAAACCAUGCGGCUCAUGCUGAACCCCGGCUCCCCUUCUGGGCACCGGCAUUUUGGAGGGUGAGGGCAGAGACCACCAAGUGACCAGCCCCCAGCCGGGUGCCAAGCCUCUAGUGAGCUUCCCUGGGGACACGGGGGUGCGGGUAACUGUCGUGGUUCUGUCCUUUGUGGCUGGGGGAAGAGACACCCUAGAGACCCUCGAGGGAAAGAGGGGGCAUGGAGGGUCAGGAGGUGACGGGAGCAGGGGCCCUCCCUCCCUGCAUCGCUACCGCGUGCUGUGACCCAUCUCAGCUGUGAGCACACAAGCCACGAGCAUGUGCUGAGUCCUGGGAGCCUCCCAGCCGGUCCCUGAAGGUGAGGGCGGCCCUGCAGACCCCAGCCCUCUCCUCCACGUCUAGUGGGUGGAAGACCCACUUCUCCUUGCCAUUCCAGAAGCGGUUCUGGAGCUGUUCUGGGAGGGCUUCUGGGGUUAUGCAGCCUGAGACCCUGUUGCUGUCUCCCCACUUCCCCACAGGAACAUCCAGAGCAAGCAGUUUGCCCUGUUGCCUGAAUGCCCCCCCCCCACUUUUCUCAGGAAAGAAUCAGGGGUUUCUGUAGCAGCGUCCGCAGGCAGCUCUGCAUCUGGGCCCACAGUCACAUCUUCUGUGUAAACACCGAGAACCUUCCCUGACACGUGCCCCGGCUGACCACCUCCGCAUGCCAACCACAGGCCCCAGUGCGGGCGUCAGACUGACCUCCAGUCUCAGCCUCCUCCUCUGUUGUCAGAGCUGCUCCAGGCCCUGCUCAGAACCCGUGCACCCACUUUUCACAGGGCUGUCCUCCACCCCCCACCUUCAGCAGGAGUUCACCUAAGUAUUUAAGUUAAGGGGUGCAGAGAUAAGAAAGGAAGCUACAAACAAACAAACAGAUGGGACCAGCUGGGCCAAGAUGGCAACGAAUGUGACCUCCAACAGACCCUGAGUCUCUUCACGUGUUGAAUUUACUAUAUCAGCAUAUUCAGUGACACACCCACCGGUGGCCAUGACUGGACAUGAACGACCAGAAACGGGUAAAAGGAGGUGGUGCCCCACCCCCUUGGAAAAAGCCCUGCCCUUCCUCGGAAGGCCUCUUC